UGCGUAGGGUGCGAGCGUUAAUCGGAAUUACUGGGCGUAAAGCGUGCGCAGGCGGUUUUGUAAGCCAGAUGUGAAGUCCCCGGGCUUAACCUGGGAAUGGCAUUUGGGACUGCAAGGCUGGAGUGUGGCAGAGGAGACUGGAAUUCCUGGUGUAGCAGUGAAAUGCGUAGAUAUCAGGAGGAAUACCGAUGGCGAAGGCAGGUCUCUGGGCUGACACUGACGCUCAUGCACGAAAGCGUGGGGAGCAAACAGG
rnacentral:rRNA from 1 species